UCUAGGUGUUCUGUGUUCUACUUCAUGCGUGUCAUUCCAUGUUGUUAUCAUUAUGACAUCACAUUCUAAAGUCAUGUCAUUCUAGAAUACGUUUUCUACAUAUACUGGACUGACCUCUGGUCAGACACACAACAGAUCGGGUUGGACUGGAGAUGCUACUCAGAGAUUUUCCUCUGUUUUUUAGGUUUUGCCUAACUUUCUGAUAGCCUAUUCGUGUGGAUCAUUGAGACACAUGGGGGAAUGUCCAUCAUUUUUACGUUAUAACUGUCGUUUAUUGAUUAGCUUUAGUUGAUUUGUUUCAGUUUUGCAAAUUAGUUCACAGGAGUCACAGCGGAAGAAAAUACCAAAAGUUCAACUCUCUCCUCAAUGUCAACAGGACCAGUCACGACUGUCUGCGCUUGCUUGGGUUUUGCCUGUGCUGGGAAGUGGAUGUAAAGGGCCUUGCUGCGAAAUCAUGAACAUACAGCUAAGUCUAAAAGAUUUAAAUGAAACUGGACUGAGAAAAUGGCCAUGACAGUUUUGCCAGUCUGUGAUUAACUACUAAUUGUGCAAGUAUCUGAAGUAAUGUGUGUCAUGAUUCUAGAUUCUAGGUGCUCUGUGUUCUAAUUCAUGCGUGUCAUUCCGUGUUGUUAUCAUUAUGACAUCACAUUCUAAAGUCAUGUCAUUCUAGAAUGCAUUCUCUACAUAUACUUGACUGACCUCUGGUCAGACACACAACAGAUCGGGUUGGACUGGAGAUGCUACUCAGAGUUCAACCUCUGUAUUUUAGGUUUUGCCUAACUUUCUGAUAGCCUAUACGUGUGGAUCAUUGAGACACAUGGGGGGAGUGUCCAUCAUUUUCAUGUUAUAACUGUCGUUUAUUGAUUAGCUUUAGUUGAUUUGUUUCAGUUUUGCAAAUUAGUUCAGGACUUGCAGCAGGUAGAUGCGGUUCUUGUUUGAUAUAGUCAACUGUCAACUUGUCGGAUCAUACAAAAUGUUAUUACCAAGUGGAACAAAUACAAAAAAAAUCAGGAGGGACAGGAGGAACACGAAAAGGAGUCACAGGGAAAGAAAAUACAAAAACUACCACUCUCUCCUCAAUGUUAACAGGAUCAGUCAUGACUGUCUGUGC